rnacentral:tRNA from 1 species
GCCCUGGUAGUUCAACGGAUAGAAUGGAAGUUUCCUAAACUUUAGAUUUGAGUUCGAUUCUCAGCCGGGGUA